CCAGGUCAGGCGGGAUUACCCG
rnacentral:rRNA from 1 species